GGAUUAGCGUCCCGUUGGCAAGACACAAACACCGCCGAGGCUCGGAGGAGGAAGAGGAGGCGGCGGCGGCUCCCUCACGCCUGGCGCCGGGAAGAUGCUUGCUGCUGUCUGCCGUGACUCUGGCGGCGGUGAUGACGCAGGAGGCCUCUGGUGCCGAGACACGGGCGUUCAGAGCGGCCAAGACUGCGGCCCAGCACCACCCCCGGCCCGGCCAGGCAUUCAUCGAGGCCAACUGUACCCGACACUUGUGCCCUAAUGUAACGCACGGUGCCCGACCUUAAGACCCCUAACUACUAACGACGCCUCCGAGCGAGCCCUCCCCCUCCUUUAUAUUCAACCAAAUGAAACCUAACUUAAUCCUCUGAGACGUCCACUCCCAUACGUAGGGCUAAUUAGGACAGGUGAACUCCUCAGGCAGCUCAACACAGUGUCCAUCAACAGCUCCAAGGUAUGUCGGCAUGUGAAAGAGUAUUGGUAGAGGAUGGAGAAGUCUGCAGAAUCCUCACUUUACAGCAGGCAUAAGUGCAUGUAGCAAAUCCUGAGUGACAAUGACUGUCGCUUAACCCCGUCAGUGUCCGGCCCAGCUCAGCAUGCCAAGAACACCCCUACAGGAGAACAGCUAGGCAGUUGACAGUAGGACAGAAGAGGCUUGUAGGGAAGAAUAAAUGUCAUGGAAUGGUGGGACAUCCGGCACAGCAAGGAUGGGCUGGCGGAGGAGGAGCUGUCCAUGAGUGGCUGCAGAGUGGUGUGGUCCCGAGGUCAGGCUGGCCGAGUGGGGUCCCGGCAGGUUGUCAAGUGCACGACCUGAGACUCGGCUGUGAUACAUGCCAUGCUCGCCUCCUCCUACACCUGCCCAGACCAACCGUCCCUGCUGGGAGAACCUGUCCCUCAAGAACCCACAGGUUCAAUCACACACUCUGCGAAGCUUACGUGGAGGAAAACUGGUCUCCCGGCCAGGUGGUCACCAACCUUGUGGCCACGGACCUUGAUGCCUGGGACCUGGGCAAGCUGAGAUACACCGUCCUGCACCAGACCUCAGAAGCAGCCGUCACCAUGAACAAGGAAGGCAGUCUAUACACUGAGACACCCCUGAAUCGCGAGUCCCUGCCCGUGCACAGCCUCAAGGUGUCCGUGAUGGACGAAGAGAUCCAGGCCAGCUUCACGGUGGUGUGCGACAUGAACAAAAACCCACCAGUCUUUACGCUGCCGGAGUACCAGGCGAACAUCAUGGCUCCCAGGACGACCAUUCUUAAGGUCAUUGGUGUUAAGCUCACCGGGGAGCUGAGCAGUUGGACAUCACCCAAAGACAUCAUAUUGAAGGUCGCUGGAAUUCUGACAGUUAAAGGCGGCACCGGGGCAAUUGUUGAAUAUUUGGGGCCUGGCGUGGACUCCAUCUCCUGCACUGGCAUGGCCACGAUAUGCAACAUGGGCACCGAGAUCGAUUGGCUACAGUGAAGGUCGUGGCAGAGAGUGUACUCAAACUCCUACUGUGAGCUACUCCUGCUGCCUGCGCCCUCACCACCCCUGUGAAGGACGCCCAGCUGACCCAACCCUCCUCGGUGCCUGUGAGGGCUGCUCCACGUGUCAUCAGGAAGGAGGACUUUGACAACCUAGAGAAACCUGCACAGAUGAAGAGCUGGACGUGCUGGACCCGGCAGACACAUUCGUGGUGUUGUGAUUCACUCGUAACACUGGAGAACACAGAUUUCUGUUGCCAGGAAGGAGGAGGAACAAAGAAGAAGAGGAGGAAGAACAAGAAGAAAACAAAAGGAACAGGAAGAAUUAAAGAAUAGAGAAACAACACACACACACACACACAGGAACAUGAAAAGCACAAUAUUUUCUUCUGGUUUAAUUUUUAUUAGUUCAUAUUUUCACAACAGCUUUCAAGGUUCCACAGUGUAAUCUGCACACACACACACACACACACACACACACACACACAAACCAUGGUACUCAGCACAUUGCACUCUGGUAUUUUCUGGCAGACAGCUGCGUCAAAGAACACAAACGGACGUCACAAAAUAACAGUUUUAACGCAAACUUUGUCGUUGGUUGUGUCGGUGCGAGAGUUUUUGAGGCCGGAGAAUGAUGAACACAAUGUGCUGAAUACUGUCACUGCUGCUAACAGAUGUAUACCAACAUACAGAUUCACUCAGGAUAUACACAUACAAUAUA